rnacentral:rRNA from 1 species
GAUGAACGCUGGCGGCGUGCCCAAUACAUGCAAGUCGAGCGAACGGACGAGAAGCUUGCUUCUCUGAUGUUAGCGGCGGACGGGUGAGUAACACGUGGAUAACCUACCUAUAAGACUGGGAUAACUUCGGGAAACCGUAGCUAAUACCGGAUAAUAUUUUGAACCGCAUGGUUCAAAAGUGAAAGACGGUCUUGCUGUCACUUAUAGAUGGAUCCGCGCUGCAUUAGCUAGUUGGUAAGGUAACGGCUUACCAAGGCAACGAUGCAUAGCCGACCUGAGAGGGUGAUCGGCCACACUGGAACUGAGACACGGUCCAGACUCCUACGGGAGGCAGCAGUAGGGAAUCUUCCGCAAUGGGCGAAAGCCUGACGGAGCAACGCCGCGUGAGUGAUGAAGGUCUUCGGAUCGUAAAACUCUGUUAUUAGGGAAGAACAUAUAUGUAAGUAACUGUGCACAUCUUGACGGUACCUAAUCAGAAAGCCACGGCUAACUACGUG